rnacentral:rRNA from 1 species
CUUAAGGGUUUGUUUUUUAGAAAAAGCAGAAAGCGUGUAGAGGUAAAACAUUUAAAAUAAAUAGAAUUUUUUUAGUAAUAGUGCAAUAUUAAAAGAAGAAAAAGAAUUUUUUAUGUGAAGACAAUUUAUUUUUUUCUUUAACACGAAGGUUCUGGGAGCGAACAGGAUUAGAGACCCUGGUAGUCGAUACAGUAAAAGAAAGUCGCUUGAGUAGUACGGUCGCAAGAUUAAAAUUCAAAAAACUUGGCUGUUCAUUGUUAUUUAGAGGAGCGUGUUGCUUAAUUCGAUAAUCCGCGAGUUACCUUACCAAAACUAGCUUUUACAGGUGUUG